CCUACGGGUGGCAGCAGUCGAGAAUAAUUCACAAUGGGGGAAACCCUGAUGGUGCGACGCCGCGUGGGGGAAUGAAGUUCUUUGGAUUGUAAACCUCUGUUAUGGGGGAGCAAAUGAACAAGAUAGUACCACAAGAGGUAUAGACGGCGAAAUCGGUGCCAGGAGCCGCGGUAAUACAGAGGUGUCAAGCGGUGGUCCGAAUCAAUGGGCGUAAAGCGUGCGGAGGCUGUUUCGUGAGGUGAGUGUGAAAAGCGCGGGGUCAAACGGCGGACGGCACAUGAUUCGGGGAGACUAGAGUAAUGGAGAGGGAAGCGGAAUUCGUGGUGUAGCAGUGAAAUGCGUAGAUAUCGAGCAGAACACCCGUUGCGAAGGCAGGUUCCUGGACAUUAACUGACGCUGAGGCACGAAGGCCAGGGGAGCGAAAGGGAUUAGAUACCCUUGUAGUC
rnacentral:rRNA from 1 species